UACGGGGGGAGCAAGCGUUGUUCGGAUUUACUGGGCGUAAAGGGCGCGUAGGCGGCGCAACAAGUCACUUGUGAAAUCUCCGGGCUUAACCCGGAGCGGUCAAGUGAUACUGUCGUGCUAGAGUGCGGAAGGGGCUACUGGAAUUCUCGGUGUAGCGGUGAAAUGCGUAGAUAUCGAGAGGAACACCUGCGGCGAAGGCGGGUUGCUGGGCCGACACUGACGCUGAUGCGCGAAAGCCAGGGGAGCGAACGGG
rnacentral:rRNA from 1 species